rnacentral:misc_RNA from 1 species
ACAUUUCAUGCCACUCAACCUUACGAACUAUUCCUUUCCAAGUAGUUUAUGGUAGAACUCCUACGUUAUUAUCAUAUGAUGCCGGUGCUUCCUGUGUUGAAGUCGUGGAUCAGGCACUAGUUGAAUGAGAUGUUUUGGCAAAAAUUCAUGAUCAUUUAGAACAAGCACAAGCACAAGCCCAUAUGAAGGCAUAGUAUGAUAAAGCCCAGAACUCCUACGUUUCUGGAA